GAUGAACGCUGGCGGCGUGCCUAAUACAUGCAAGUCGAGCGAACGGACGAGAAGCUUGCUUCUCUGAUGUUAGCGGCGGACGGGUGAGUAACACGUGGAUAACCUACCUAUAAGACUGGGAUAACUUCGGGAAACCGGAGCUAAUACCGGAUGAUAUUUUGAACCGCAUGGUUCAAAAGUGAAAGACGGUCUUGCUGUCACUUAUAGAUGGAUCCGCGCUGCAUUAGCUAGUUGGUAAGGUAACGGCUUACCAAGGCAACGAUGCAUAGCCGACCUGAGAGGGUGAUCGGCCACACUGGAACUGAGACACGGUCCAGACUCCUACGGGAGGCAGCAGUAGGGAAUCUUCCGCAAUGGGCGAAAGCCUGACGGAGCAACGCCGCGUGAGUGAUGAAGGUCUUCGGAUAGUAAAACUCUGUUAUUAGGGAAGAACAUAUGUGUAAGUAACUGUGCAUAUCUUGACGGUACCUAAUCAGAAAGCCACGGCUAACUACGUG
rnacentral:rRNA from 1 species